AGGAAAUCCAGUCUUUUCCUUCUCUCACAGUAGUCUCGUACUUCCUAUAAUCAUCAUAAACAAUUAAUUAGAUUAUUCGCAUAAAUUAUUCUACCAUAUUCUUUACAGAGAAAAAGAAAAUUUAAAAGAGUUGCUAUAAUUAAAUAUACUCCAAUGACCAUUUUCUUAUUCAUUGGCACUGAUUUGUUGUCCCCUAAUAGCCACUCACUGGUUCUUUUCAGUUUCAAAAACCCACCAUCAUUUUCUUCACCAGUAGACUAUGAACAAAAAAUUAAAUAAAAAUCGUGAUUAUAAAUGAAAAAAGGAUGAAUCUUUUCCGAUAAACUAAACCUUAGUUUCAAUAAAUCUAGUGGGGGCUACGGAUAAUCCUUCUGUUGGAAAAAAUGGUUAUGAAAUGGGUCAACUUUGAGCCUAAAUUUCAGUGGGACCCACCUUUUAAUUAAUACGGGACCUAGCAUAUUCACGUUCCACUCCACGAGAUGAUUAACGUGAUAUAUUUAUUUAUCGAAAACCAUUUAAAAUUGAAUGAAAUAUUAAGUGUUAAAGUAACCCACAUAAACUAAGUAUUAUGGAAGAAUUUAAUUUUUCAAACACUUAUCCCACAUAGGAAAGUUAGGAAACUUUGGUGUGGUUUAUAAGGUGGAAGUUUGGAAUUGGUUUUGGGCCCCAAAGGGUACCAAUAGUUUUUUGAAGGGGAAAGACCUAUAUCCUAUUGUGUAUUCAUUGAUUAUGCCUACCAUAGUAAUGCGUACAGAUUUAUGGUAUAUAAGUUUGAAAUACCUGAUAUGCAUGUUAAUACAAUUAUUGAAUUAAGGGAUGCUACAUUUUUCGAAAAUACUUUUCCUUAUAACAUGCAAGGUGAAUCAAAUUCGCAAAGAGAUCUCGUGAAAACGAAGAGACUAUAGAUCAAAAAUCUAUAAAUGAACAACCUAGACGAAGUAAGAGGGCUUGGACGUCAACCUCCUUUGGGUCUGAUUUUCUAACAUAUUUGUUAGAAAAUGAACCUCGAGUUUUAAAGAGGCUAUGUCAUCAACCAAAGCUUCAUAUUGGAAAGAAGUUGUUCAUAGUGAAAUUGAAUUCAUACUACAAAAUCAUACAUGGGAAUUAGUAGACCUCACUCUCGGUAAUAAGCCUUUGGAAUGUAAAUGGAUUUUCAAAAGGAAAAUGAAAACAGAUGGAUCAAUUGACAAAUAUAAAGCAAGACUUGUCACUAAAGGCUACAAACAAAAAGAAGGUCUUAAUUAUUUCGAUACCUAUUCUCCUGUGACAAGAAUCACAUCCAUAUGUAUGCUUAUUGCAAUAGCAGCAUUGAAUGGUUUGGAUAUACAUCAAAUGGAUGUUAAAACGACAUUUUUGAAUGGGGAAUUAGAUGAAAAAAUUUAUAUGGAGCAACUUGAAGGAUUUGUGGCCUCAGGACAAGAAAAGAAAGUGUGUCGACUUGUUAAAUCACUAUAUGGAUUAAAGCAAGCUCCUAAGAAAUGACAUGUAAAGUUUAACGUGGUUAUGAUGCCAAAUGGUUUCAAAAUUAACGAGUGUGACAAAUGUGUUUAUGUCAGGAACACUCCAAAUGGAUAUGUCAUGGUAUGUUUAUAUGUAGAUGACAUGUUGAUUAUGGGUAACAAUGAUACCAUAAUUCAAACUACAAAAAGGAUGCUAACAAGGAAAUUUGAAAUGAAGGAUUUAGGUGUGGCCGAUGUUAUAUUAGGAAUUAAAAUUUCUAGAACAUCUGAUGGUCUCAUAUUGUCUCAAUCACAUUACAUUGAGAAGAUUCUUGAUAAAUUCAAGAAAUAUAAUAUUAUUCCUAUGAAAACACUUAUGGAUGUUAGUAUGCAUCUUGUUUCCAAUACUGGUGAUAGUAAGUCUCAAUUGGAAUACUCUCGUAUUAUUGGCAAUUUAAUGUAUGUCAUGAAUUGCACUCGACCUGAUAUUGCCUAUUCAAUUAGUAGGCUAAGUCGAUAUACAAGUAAUCCAAGCAUUGAUCAUUGGAAUGCUAUUGUUAGAGUUUUAGGGUAUUUAAAACAUACCCAAAAUUUUAAAUUGCGCUAUUCGAGAUAUCCAGCAGUACUUGAAGGAUACUGUGAUGCAAAUUGGAUAUCAGAUACUAAAAACUCCAAAUCAACAAGUGGAUAUGUCUUUACACUUGGAGGUGCUGCAAUAUCAUGGAAAUCUUCAAAACAGACAUGUAUAGCUAGAUCAACAAUAGAAUCUGAAUUCAUUGCAUUAGACAAAGUCGGAGAAGAAGUCGAAUGGCUACGAAACUUUCUAGAAGAUAUUCCAUAUUGGACAAAACAUGUGCCUACUAUAUGUAUCCAUUGCGAUAGUCAAUCAGCAAUUGGUAGGGCACAAAAUGCAAUGUACAACGGUAAAUCUCGACAUAUACGUUGUAGACACAAUACUGUUAGACAAUUGCUCUCUACAGGCAUUAUCUCUAUAGAAUAUGUGAAAUCAAAAGAGAAUAUUGCGAAUCCGCUAACUAAAAGUUUAACAAGAGAGCAAGUCGAAAGUUCAUCUAAGGGGAUGAGAUUAAAACUAAUAAAAUAAUCAAAAGUUUCCAUGGUGGCAACCCAACCUAGUUAACUGGAGAUCCCAAGAUCUAGGUUCAAUAGGACAAUCGAACUGUGAAAAACUUAGUAUACACUGGGAAGAUUUUACUUCUACCCAUUCCUAUGAUGAGCCAGUGCCUAGCUGCGGCGAAAUAGGUUAAGAUACGCUUUUAAUUAUUUCUAUAUCUUGAUUCGUUCAAGUGGAGUAUAGCAGAAUACUCUUUAUGAAAAUCACCUAUGUGAGUGAGAAGGGGACGCUUCUAAGAGAAUUAGGUGAAGAUGAAUUCUCUAAAAACCACUCAUGAAUCAGGAGGUGUCCAAGACCAAAAUGGACACAAACGUGAGAACCAUCUGUGUUCGAAGAAAACUGUGUGACUUCUAUUGUUUAGGUUUUCAUAAACGACUGAUUGUUCAAAGCAACUUACUACUGAUUGGUUAAGGAAAUCCAAUAGAUUUUACUAGGGAAAGUUCAAAGUGAUUGACUACUUAUCCCGAUACAGUCUUCUUCAAUUUUUUCUUUGAAAAAUAUAUCAGAUGUUAUCGUUUGGAAUAAGGUCAACAUAUUUCAUUCAUGUGGGGGAUUGUUGGAAAAAAAUGGUUAUGAAAUGGGUCAACUUUGAGCCCAAAUUUCAGUGGGACCCACCUUUUAAUUAAUACGGGACCUAGCAUAUUCACAUUCUACUCCGCGAGAUGAUUAACGUGAUAUAUUUAUUUAUCGAAAACCAUUUAAAAUUGAAUGAAAUAUUAAGUGUUAAAGUAACCCACAUAAAUUAAGUAUUAUGAAAGAAUUUGAUUUUCCAAACACUUAUCACACAUAGGAAAGUUAGGAAAUUUUGGUGUGGUUUAUAAGGUGGAAGUUUGGAAUUGGGUUUGGGCCCCAAGGAGUACCAAUAGUUUUUGGAAGAGGGAAUACCUAUAUCCUAUUGGGUCCAUCCGUCCGGCCGGCAUGCUCGGCACGUCACGAGCACGUGCCCGUGUCCGAGUUCGGUCCGGUUCGGUGCAGUUGCGGGUGGACCUUUGCACUAUAUUAACUUUUUGAACAAAACUUAUUUAAAAUUUUGGGCCAAAUUGUAAAUAAUCAAAUUCUUGGGUACAUUAUGAAAUUUAAAUUUUGGCUUAUUCCGGGAGUUUUAUUUUCUUUUAACAGUCGUCUGUUUACCGAUCAAACAGUCGACUGUUAACCAACUUAACAGACGCGACUUUUAAAAACAGCAUGUCUGUUCAGAUUUUGAGGUUUGUCUGAAAAUUGAUAACUGUUCGAAUGGCCACGAACAAGUCUAUAAAUAGUCAGCCUAUCUACCAUAAAAUACAGACCAUUUUCAUUGCAAAUUUUCUGUGUUUUGAAUCUCAUUCCCUUCUCUCUCGUUCUGAUAUUGUCUCGAAAUAAAACACACUCCGUUGAGUUCGUUGGAACUCCUGCAGAUUGCAGUGCUGCUUCCGUAGGAGACGAAAAUUCGUUCUAUCCUGAAAAACGAUUGCUGGACGCCUUUAGCACCAUUGAAGGCAGCAAAUUCGUUUUAAGAAAAUAUCGUGAAGUCGGUGGGCUCGAAUUACUUUUCACAUCCUGUUGAUCAAUUCUUUACAUUCAGGUGAUUCUGUCAAAUUGAUUUCGAAAGAGUAACGUCAAACUCUUAAAAGAACACCUCCUUCAGCAGUGUAGUAGGAUGACAAUUUCCUAGCUAAAGUAGGUAAUCAUACUGGGCAGCUGAGUAGCAUUGUUAAAAUUAUCAGCCAUUUCUUCAGUUGUUGCUUGGUUUGCAGAAUUUGUAAUCAAAUCCCUUAUCCAAAAUUUAUCAGGUAUUUUCGAUAUAAAAUCUCCGGUCAAUUCUCUUUCUUUCAGAAAUUCCCGCAACACCUCAUCUCAUCUCCAGAAAAUUCUCACGCUGGCACACGAGAAAAAAUGAAAAAGGGAAACAUAUUUAAAACGAAAAAUUCAGUUAAAAAAGUUUAUAUUAGUUGGGAAUUAAGCAAAAAUCUGAAAUGGGUACUUACGAGGAGCGGAGGUUUUGAGGGAGAAGAAUGUGUAUGGGGUUCUUGCACAAAAUCGACGGAGUUUAUAAUAGGCAGAAUGCUGGACGUGUAAUUUUGAAAAAUAUCCAAUUGCUGGAAGAGAAUUCAUAAUUUCUGUAAUUCAUUUCAGCUACUGAAUUCAAUCUUGUACAGUAAGCAUCUUCUUGUUAUCCCUCAAAUUCAAAGGUCUAAAAAGAGGAUUUUG
rnacentral:lncRNA from 1 species